rnacentral:tRNA from 1 species
GGUUCCAUAGUAUAGCAUUUAGCACAUCUGCUUUACACACAGAAGGUCCUGUGUUCAUGUCCCAGUGGAGCCA